UCAGCUCUUGCCCCUGUUCUUUGCUUCUCGUUUUGUUGGUGAAGAUAUCACAGUGAUGUCUGCAUUCAACCUGCUGCAUUUGGUGACAAAGAGCCAGCCAGUAGCCCUUCGAGCCUGUGGGCUUCCCUCAGGGUCGUGUAGGGAUAAAAAGAACUGUAAGGUGGUCUUUUCCCAGCAGGAACUGAGGAAGCGGCUAACACCCCUGCAGUACCAUGUCACUCAGGAGAAAGGGACCGAAAGUGCCUUUGAAGGAGAAUACACACAUCACAAAGAUCCUGGAAUAUAUAAAUGUGUUGUUUGUGGAACUCCAUUGUUUAAGUCAGAAACCAAAUUUGACUCCGGUUCAGGUUGGCCUUCAUUCCACGAUGUGAUCAAUUCUGAGGCAAUCACAUUCACAGAUGACUUUUCCUAUGGGAUGCACAGGGUGGAAACAAGCUGCUCUCAGUGUGGUGCUCACCUUGGGCACAUUUUUGAUGAUGGGCCUCGUCCAACUGGGAAAAGAUACUGCAUAAAUUCGGCUGCCUUGUCUUUUACACCUGCGGAUAGCAGUGGCACCGCCGAGGGAGGCAGUGGGGUCGCCAGCCCGGCCCAGGCAGACAAAGCGGAGCUCUAGAGUAAUGGAGAGUGAUGGAAACAAAGUGUACUUAAUGCACAGCUUAUUAAAAAAAUCAAAAUUGUUAUCUUAAUAGAUAUAUUUUUUCAAAAACUAUAAGGGCAGUUUUGUGCUAUUGAUAUUUUUUCUUCUUUUGCUUAAACAGAAGCCCUGGCCAUCCAUGUAUUUUGCAAUUGACUAGAUCAAGAACUGUUUAUAGCUUUAGCAAAUGGAGACAGCUUUGUGAAACUUCUUCACAAGCCACUUAUACCCUUUGGCAUUCUUUUCUUUGAGCACAUGGCUUCUUUUGCAGUUUUUCCCCCUUUGAUUCAGAAGCAGAGGGUUCAUGGUCUUCAAACAUGAAAAUAGAGAUCUCCUCUGCAGUGUAGAGACCAGAGCUGGGCAGUGCAGGGCAUGGAGACCUGCAAGACACAUGGCCUUGAGGCCUUUGCACAGACCCACCUAAGAUAAGGUUGGAGUGAUGUUUUAAUGAGACUGUUCAGCUUUGUGGAAAGUUUGAGCUAAGGUCAUUUUUUUUUUUCUCACUGAAAGGGUGUGAAGGUCUAAAGUCUUUCCUUAUGUUAAAUUGUUGCCAGAUCCAAAGGGGCAUACUGAGUGUUGUGGCAGAGAAGUAAACAUUACCACACUGUUAGGCCUUUAUUUUAUUUUAUUUUCCAUCGAAAGCAUUGGAGGCCCAGUGCAAUGGCUCACGCCUGUGAUCCCAGCACUUUGGGAGGCCAAGGCGGGUGGAUCACGAGGUCAGGAGAUGGAGACCAUCCUGGCUAACAUGGUGAAACCCCGUCUCUACUAAAAAUACGAAAAAUUAGCCAGGCGUGGUGGUGGGCACCUGUAGUCCCAGCUACUCAGGAGGCUGAGGCAGGAGAAUGGCGUGAACCCGGAAGGCGGAGCUUGCAGUUAGCCGAGAUCAUGCCACUGCACUCCAGCCUACAUGACAAUGUGACACUCCAUCUCAAAAAAUAAUAAUAAUAACAAUAUAAGAACUAGCUGGGCAUGGUGGCGCAUGCAUGUAGUCCCAGCUACUCCUGAGGCUCAGUCAGGAGAAUCGCUUGAACUUGGGAGGCGGAGGUUGCAGUGAGCUGAGCUCAUACCACUGCACUCCAGCCUGAACAGAGUGAGAUCCUGUC
rnacentral:lncRNA from 1 species